CGGAGUUUUUUGAAUAUACGUUGGAAAAAACUAUCGCAGAAUGAUGAUGGACUAUUUCGUGACUAAUAAUUCGCUAGCCCCAGCUCCAAUGGGUAUCCAAAGUACUGCGGGCGCUGUUCCUGUCAAAAAUGACAAGGGCGAAUUAUCUAUGAAAAAGGUUAAAGUACAUCGCUAUGUCUCUGGUAAACGUCCCGAUUAUGCGCCGAUGGCAAGUUCUGACGAGGAAUCAGAGGAUGAAGAUUUUAUAGAUAGACGCGUUCAUAAACCUCAUGAAGAUGCUGAUGCAGUUACAGACAUCCCUGCACCUUUGCACAGUGCUAAAUUGAGAGACGAAGAUGACCCCAGACUAAGACGUUUGACUAGAGUUGAAAAACAUAAAGAAGUCGAUACAGAAAUACGCGUUGAGAGACACAGGCAUAUUCAUGAGCCAGAAAUACUGGAAACUGAACCAGAGAGAUCAAGAGAACGGAUAAAAUUAGAGAGUUCCGAUUCUUCGGAAGAUGAAGAUUUGUCAGAUACAGAAAUUGAAAGACGUCGAGAUGCUCUAAAACAGAGAGUUCUCUCCAAGAAAGAUACUGACCAAGAACUAUUCCAUGAAGAAGAUGACGAAAAAACCGGUAACACUUCGGAGGAUAGUUCAGAGUAUGAAGAAUACACUGAUUCUGAAGAAGAAACUGGACCUAGGUUAAAACCAGUGUUUGUUAGAAAAAAAGACAGAAUCACAGUUAUGGAAAAAGAAAAAGAAGCAAUGAAGCAGAAACAGGUUGAAACAGAGGCUAAGAAAAUGGCAGAGGAAAGAAAAAGACAGACAUUGAGGAUGGUGGAAGAUGCAAUACGCAAAGAGACUCAACCUGGAAAAAAUAUGGUUGAUCAGGAGGGAAAUAUAAAUGAUGUGUGCACAGAUGAUGAGAAUGAUGAGGUGGAAUACGAGGCUUGGAAGCUACGAGAAUUGAAGAGAAUUAAGCGAGAUAGAGAAGAACGAGAGCAGUUGGAAAAAGAACGCUUGGAGAUAGAACGUCUGCGCAAUAUGACAGAGGAGGAAAGGCGCCAAGAAUUGCGUCUAAAUCCAAAGUUAGUUACAAACAAAGCUGCAAAAGGAAAAUACAAAUUUUUGCAGAAAUAUUAUCAUCGUGGUGCAUUUUACUUGGACAAAGACGACACAAUAUUCAAAAGAGAUUUCUCUGGAGCAACUUUGGAAGAUCACUUUGACAAAACAAUCUUACCCAAAGUCAUGCAAGUUAAAAACUUUGGGCGCAGUGGUAGAACUAAGUAUACUCAUCUGGUUGACCAAGAUACAACACAAUUCGAUUCACCCUGGAUAUCAGAAACUGCACAGAACUUGAAAUUUCACAAUAAUCAAGCCGCUGGAAUGAAGCAGCACUUCGAUAAGCCGUCAUUGAAGAAACGAAGCGAUGAUAAUUAAAUAUGAUGCUACUAGAACAUCUCCUUUGUGGUAGUAUUCACGAUAACAACGGAUGAAAAUGAAUCGUCAGGAACUAUCUGGAACCAUUGCAAAAUCCUGGCAGCUCCUUCAAUGCCUGUAGUCUAUGGGUGAAAGGUGAAAAACUGACUAAGUUGAAUAUUUGAAAAAGCCUCGAUGCAAUCAGCAACAGUUUUAUCAGAGACAGUUUGUGCACAUAAAAAGGGCUCCAAGCCAGACUGUGCAUCACUGCUCUCCCAUUGCAUCACCUUCUCUUCGAUUAUUUGGAGCGUUUCAUCCGACAAAUAACCGGAGAUUUGCUCAUCGCUCGGUAUCUUCAGAUGAUACAGGAUGUUUGGUGACACCUAGGUAAGCAAAACGAGAUACACAAAUUGUAUAUUCAAUAAUCUAUCAUUUAAGCGUAUAAAAUAAUUUAUCAAGAUCA